AACGCUAGCUACAGGCUUAACACAUGCAAGUCGAGGGGCAGCGGGAAUCUAGCUUGCUAGAUUUGCCGGCGACCGGCGCACGGGUGAGUAACACGUAUCCAACCUGGCCCAUACUCGGGUAUAGCCUCUCGAAAGGGAGAUUAAUCCCCGAUGUUGUCGUUGCACCGCAUGGUACAUCGACCAAAGUUUUUCGGUAUGGGAUGGGGAUGCGUUCCAUUAGCUUGUUGGCGGGGUAACGGCCCACCAAGGCUACGAUGGAUAGGGGUUCUGAGAGGAAGGUCCCCCACACUGGAACUGAGACACGGUCCAGACUCCUACGGGAGGCAGCAGUGAGGAAUAUUGGUCAAUGGACGAGAGUCUGAACCAGCCAAGUAGCGUGAAGGAAGACUGCCCUACGGGUUGUAAACUUCUUUUAUACGGGAAUAAAGUGCCUUACGUGUAGGGUUUUGUAUGUACCGUAUGAAUAAGCAUCGGCUAAUUCCGUGCCAGCAGCCGCGGUAAUACGGAAGAUGCGAGCGUUAUCCGGAUUUAUUGGGUUUAAAGGGAGCGUAGGCGGGUUUUUAAGCCAGCUGUGAAAGUUUGCAGCUCAACCGUAAAAUUGCAGUUGGAACUGGAGACCUUGAGUGUGCAUAAGGUGGAUGGAAUUCGUGGUGUAGCGGUGAAAUGCUUAGAUAUCACGAAGAACUCCGAUUGCGAAGGCAGUCCACUGGGGCACUACUGACGCUGAGGCUCGAAAGUGCGGGUAUCAAACAGGAUUAGAUACCCUGGUAGUCCGCACAGUAAACGAUGGACACUCGCUGUUGGCGAUAUACAGUCAGCGGCCAAGCGAAAGCAUUAAGUGUCCCACCUGGGGAGUACGCCGGCAACGGUGAAACUCAAAGGAAUUGACGGGGGCCCGCACAAGCGGAGGAACAUGUGGUUUAAUUCGAUGAUACGCGAGGAACCUUACCCGGGCUUGAACUGCAGAUGACUUUUCCGGAAACGGGAUUUCCCUUCGGGGCAUCUGUGGAGGUGCUGCAUGGUUGUCGUCAGCUCGUGCCGUGAGGUGUCGGCUUAAGUGC
rnacentral:rRNA from 1 species